GACGAACGCUGGCGGCGUGCUUAACACAUGCAAGUCGAACGGAAAGGCCCUGCUUUUGUGGGGUGCUCGAGUGGGGAACGGGUGAGUAACACGUGAGUAACCUGCCCUUGAUUUUGGGAUAACUUCAGGAAACUGGGGCUAAUCUCGGAUAGGAGCUGCUGUUGGGUGGUGGGGGUUGGAAAGUUUCGGCGGUUGGGGUUGGACUCGCGGCUUAACAGCUUGUUGGUGGGGUAGUGGCUUACCCAGGCUUUGGAGGGUCGCCGGCCUGAGAGCGUGGCCGGGGUCAGUAGUACUGCGAGACGGCCCAGACUGCUACAGGAGGCAGCAGUGGGGAAUAUUGCACAAUGGUCGGAAGCCUGAGGCAGCAACGCCGCGUGCGUGAUGACGGCCUUCGGGUUGUAAACCGCUUUCGCCUGUUACGAAGCGUUAGUGACGGUAAUCGGUAAAGAAGCACCGGCUAACUACGUG
rnacentral:rRNA from 1 species